UUUUUUUUUUUUUUUUUGUUAAUAUUACACCGAUUUUUCUUCAUAAAUAAAAAUUUAGACCAAAUAUUUAUCCAUGAGCUUAACUGAGUUGGCAAUGAUAUUGCACUUUAUAUGAAGGGUUGGGUUCGAACCUCAUACACCCCACUUCUUCAUAAUUAAAUUUUGUGAGCUCUAGCCAUUAAGUUACUUGAUUUCUUCUUAACUAUUUGUCACUUGGUAGAAUUUAAUAACCACUUGAACUUAAAUAUUUGGUUAAUUAUAGAAUUAUUUUACUAUAUAUAUAUAUAACACUAUUAAAAAAAAAAAAUUUACUAUAUAUAAAAGAAUAGAUCGAACGUAAAUAAAAUACUUCAUUUGUCCCUAAUUAUAAGUACCUUUUCAAAAAAGUUGUGUCCCUAAAUAUAAGCCCUUGUACAAAUUACUGGCUAAAUUUAUUUAUUUUUUCCAAACAUAACCUUAAUUGACAGUACUAUAAACAAAGAGCAAUUUAGAAUAUGAAAAGUAACAUUGACUCACAAAAUAAACAUAUUAAUGGUAUUAUCAACUUUUCUUUUUGAUCAAGAAGACUUAUAAUAUGGGACGAAGGAAAAAAUAAAGACUUUUAAUAUGAUUUUUUCAUUUUAAAAUUUACCAUUUAUCAUUGUUGUUGGCGAGCAUGUAAAACAAUAAGGACAUGUUAACAUUUGAACCAAAUUAUUCUAUAUAUUCAUUACUCCCUUUGCUGCCAAUUAUAAGUAAAAUUGAUGUUUUAGGUUCAUUAAAUUAAUGAUGUAUUUAGUUUAUAUUAUGGACACAUACAUCAUUAAUUAAAUAAACAUAAAAAGUGAAAUUUGCUUAUAAUUGGCAACAAAAUGAGUAUCUGUCUGGAUUUAGUCAUACUCAUAAAAAGGAGGUCAAAUUAGUCUCCAUUUCAAUUCAAGACAAAUUAAUCAUAUCUUCUUGACAUCUCCUUCUGUACUCAAACUCUAAUCUUAAUCAUUUUCUUGUGAAGUCUAAGAAUGCAUUCGAGAACUAAGUAAGUUUUGAGAGAAGCGGAGUGUUUAUAAAAAAAAAAGAAAAAAGUGGAAAGAAUUGAGAGGCAUGAGAGUGGAGCGUUUUAGGGUUUAAUUUUUUUUUUUUUUUGAAGAAAGGGUUUACUUUUCUUCACAAUACAAAAUCGUCUUAAUAUGGUGAAAUUAAAAAAUUGUAUUGGAUGGUGGGUUUUGGGUAAGUUUUUCAAAUCUAAUUUAUGCCGUUAUAAUACUUUCAAAGUUAAAAAUACAUUAAUCAUAAGUAUUUAUUUAUCAUUCUCUAUAAAAUCACUCUCUCAAAAAAUUUGAAAUAUUUUUCUAUUUUUUCCUCUAAUAUCAUCCCUCCAAAACCCUCCAUUCCCUUCUUCUCCAAACUCCCAAACAGAGUGUAUGUUUUUUUGUUUUCAUCUCUACAUCCUUUUUUUUCUAAAACAAAUCCUAUAAGUUAAUAAUGUUUUCAUUUUCGUAUCUUCCGUUAACAUCUGUUACAAAAAUGCUGAUGUGUCUAACGCCGGUUGACGUGGCGUUGUUUGACGUGACAAGAUUACAGGGACCAAAACCCAAAACAAAAAGUUACAGAGGGACGAUAUUAAAAAUCUUGAAUUAACAUAAUUUCAAAUUAAAAACCUCGUUUUCCUUUCUUCAUGUUCUUCUUUCCUCUUCUUCAUAAUCUUCAACCUUACCUUCAACAACAUUCAUUGAUUUUCAUCAAACCCAAAAAAUAUAAAUUAAACAUUCAAACUCUUUAAUCAAAAUCUCAUUUCCCAUUUCAAUCAAAAUCUUCUCCUUCACCAAAUUCAAUUUAUUCUCAAUUCCAAAUCCAAAUCAUUCUCAAACCUAAAACCUCUAAAUCUACCCUCAAACUGCAUCCAUUUUCUUCACAAGGUUCCAUUUUGGGAGUAGAAUCUCUUUAUAACCAAAUUAUUGUUGCUGAAGUAAUUGGAUUUAAGGAGUUUCAUUAUGGAAAUGCAAAGGAUAAGAAACAUAAGAUAAAAAUGUUACACGAACCAAAAGAUGAAAGCAUACACGAAGACAUUUUAAAUCUAAGGGAACUAUGCAUAAUUAUAAGAAAACUGCACUUGUAACAUAGAAAGAACAAAAGAAGUUGAAACUAUAUAAGAUGGAGGGUUUAAACCAUCAUCAGCACCAUGGUUCAAAAAACUCAACAAACUGAAGUUGAAGAAAAAGAUAAACUAUGUGAAGGUAUCAAAGAGAAGUACAAAUGUUCACUAGGAUCAUAAAGGAAUGAUCCUACGAAAUAUAUCAAAAAANGUUAUUGAAUUUUAAAGGAUAAAUAGUUAUUUAUUCAGUUUAUGAUUUUAAGAAAAGAAUGUGACAUUCCGUUUAUGUGAAUACUCUGAUAAAUGUUUAUGAAAUUUUUAAGCUGGGAAAACGGGGUGUUACACAUCUCACCACCUAAAUGUUUCUCUAAAGAAGAUAGGGUUGAUGGAGAAGAUGGUUGUUGAGGUUGGUGUUCUUCUGAAAUAACUUCUGUUGAAGCUACUUCAGAGGCUAUUUAUGGUUCUGGGUUUGGUUCUGGUAGAAUAACAUUGAGGGCAGGAAUAACAGGAGGUUGAAGGGGAUGAUCUUCUGGCAGUUUGUUGCAGACUGCAAUCCUCCUUUUGGCCAUACUGAUUGUCCUUUCAUCAAUGUUAGAAGGUUCAAAGGAGUAUGUUUGUGGUUGAUUGGAAGUUUCAGUUGAUUUGGAUUUGGGAAGAGGCUCUUUGUGGAUUUUGGAGGAUGGUGAAGGGUUUUUAUACUCUUGACUAAUCAGAGUAUCAUCUAAUUCAAAUGAGGAUAGGGAAGUUGAUUCAUAUGAGAUAGAGAGGGUUAAGUCUGAUUCUACAUUUACAACAGAGUGUGGAGAAUCAGGAAUACCUUUCAGAUUGUCUGAGAGAGUGGCUUCUGAUUCUGAUGCAUGAGCUUCUGAUGUGCCCUCUCCUCUUGGCACAGCUUCUUGUAACAGAACAGUUGCUUCCUUAACUGUCUGUUCUUGAACUUCAGCAGUCAGAGACAUAAUCUCAUAAGCUUUCUCAACACUUUGAGGAUCAACCUCAAAAAGUCAUGCAGCCUUGACCUUCUCAUCUCUUUCUCUUAUAUACUGCUCAGCUAGCUGCGCAUGAAUGAAUAAGAAUGAGAAUUAAGAUGAUGAUUCUAGGUUGUUGUUGUUGUUGAGGAACAAACAAUGAGUUUUGAUGAUGAAGAAUGAAUGAAUAAGAACAAAGAUGAUGAUGGUUUUGGGUGUCCAAGUUUAUUUCUUUCUUUCUUUUUGGAUUAAUGAAGAUGAGAGAAGAAGAGGAAGAAAAAUCUGAAAAGUAUUAGGUGUUAGUGGUUUACACUAAAAUACAAUAGACCUUACAUUAUCCAACAAUCCACUUUUAAAAAAAAAAUCAAAAUGUUAAAAUUAAAAAAUUUAUUAAGGUCCAUGGUGGACCACCUUUAAAUAUGGUUCACUUUAGAUAUUUGGUGUUAAAAACUAACGGAAAGGACCAAAAGAGGCAACGACAGAAAAUAUAAGGGACCAAAUUGAAACGUUUUUUAGUUAAGGGACCAUUUUGAAAAAAAGAAUUAAAUUAAAGGACUAAAUGAUGUAUUAAGCCUUUAAUAAUUAAUAGUUGUUUUAAACAUUAUUGUAUCUAUUUGUCAUCAUUUUAAAUAAAAUGUAAUUCAUGCAAAUUAUUAUUAUUAUUUUUUAAGUUCAUACGAACAAAUAAAUAUUUUAUAAUUUAAUUUUUGUUAAGGAUUAUAAUUAAAUAUUAUGAGGUAAUUUAUAAUUUAAUAAAUAAAUUAUUUUUGUUUAAUGUUGUAAAGUUAGUGAAGUCUAUUUAAGUAUUUUUCAUUGGAGUCCUUAUUAGUGUACUCCCAUUGGAGCCAUUGAAUCCUUGAUAAGUACUUUUAUUAAAAUAUUAUAAAUAAAUGAUGUGUAACAUGAGGUCCAUUUAAUGAGUCUCUGUUAAAGAACUGUCAUUGUGGAUGCUCCAAGGUGCCGGAAACUCUAGUAAUAUUUGAAGGACUUGUUUAGGGAAUUUGUAUCAACGAGAGCAUCAAAUCAACCACCCACCAAUCCAGGGGUGAAAUUCAAUUUUGUAGAUGGUGAAAACAUUCCACCCUUGAAACUAAAAAUAAUAAGUAUAUAUGAAAAAUUCUUUCAAAAAAAAUAAAUACAUAUGAAUUAAGGAUGCAAGUAUAAGAAGUGAAGAUAACAAGGAUAGAAGUCACUGCCUUUCAACAAAAAAAGGAUAGAAAUCACUGAAGAUAAUAAUCGAAUACCAAAAUGUCAAAAUAUGUAAUAAAAAAGAACACUGGUGGAAGAAGAUCCAAUAACUGAUGGUAAAAAACACAAUUGCAGCGGUGGUAUUAGAGCUUCAACAGUUAAAACUAAUCAGAAAAUAGACGCUAGGAAUGUUAUUUCAAUUUCANUUA
rnacentral:lncRNA from 1 species